rnacentral:rRNA from 1 species
UACGGGGGGGGCAAGCGUUGUUCGGAAUUACUGGGCGUAAAGGGCUCGUAGGUGGCCAACUAAGUCAUACGUGAAAUCCCUCGGCUUAACCGGGGAACUGCGUCCGAUACUGGUUGGCUUGAGUUUGGGAGAGGGAUGCGGAAUUCCAGGUGUAGCGGUGAAAUGCGUAGAUAUCAGGAAGAACACCCGUGGCGAAGGCGGCUCUCUGGGACGGUACUGACGCUGAGACGCGAAAGCGUGGGGAGCGAACAGG